ACGGAGAUACACGGGAGCUCGGGGCACCGGGCUGAGAGGGCGCUGAGGCCGCGCCGACCGCAGAACCUGACCGGGUAAUGCCGGCGUAGGGAGCCUUUCCAUGACCUCG
rnacentral:ncRNA from 1 species